UCGCCAUCGUAAGCCUAAGAAGCAAUUUAUUGAGCCUGUGAAGCCAUACACGACCGGUCUCCCGCCCAAAAGUAGCAGCCCUUCCUUUGUUCCGGUCUCGUCUUACCCGACCACUGUAUCUUAUGAUAGUAACACAGCAGCUGAGCAACUAAAGGCGACGGAAGACUUAGUUACAUUGUAUUUG